CCCCGUAAGCUUGUAAGGCAAGGAGAAAGCCAUGGAAUGGAUCCUUCCCUCACACCUCACAGAAGUAUAUAACCCCGUAAGCUUGUAAGGCAAGGAGAAAGCCAUGGAAUGGAUCCUUCCCUCACACCUCACAGAAGGAUAUAACCCCGUAAGCUUGUAAGGCAAGGAGAAAGCCAUGGAAUGGAUCCUUACCUCACACCUCACAGAAGUAUAUAACCCCGUAAGCUUGUAAGGCAAGGAGAAAGCCAUGGAAUGGAUCCUUCCCUCACACCUCACAGAAGUAUAUAACCCCGUAAGCUUGUAAGGCAAGGAGAAAGCCAUGGAAUGGAUCCUUCCCUCACACCUCACAGAAGGAUAUAACCCUGUACGCUUGUAAGCCAAGGAGAAAACCAUGGAAUGGAUCCUUCCCUCACACCUCACAGAAGUAUAUAACCCCGUAAGCUUGUAAGGCAAGGAGAAAGCCAUGGAAUGGAUCCUUCCCUCACACCUCACAGAAGGAUAUAACCCUGUACGCUUGUAAGCCAAGGAGAAAGCCAUGGAAUGGAUCCUUCCCUCACACCUCACAGAAGUAUAUAAUCCCGUAAGCUUGUAAGGCAAGGAGAAAGCCAUGGAAUGGAUCCUUCCCUCACACCUCACAGAAGGAUAUAACCCUGUAUGCUUGUAAGGCAAGGAGAAAGCCAUGGAAUGGAUCCUUCCCUCACACCUCACAGAAGUAUAUAACCCUGUAAACUUGUAAGCCAAGGAGAGAGCCAUGGAAUGAAUCCUUCCCUCACACCUUGCAGAAGGAUAGAAUCCUGUAAGCUUGUAAGGCAAGGAGAAAGCCAUGGAAUGGAUCCUUCCCUCACACCUCACAGAAGGAUAGAACCCUGUAAGCUUGUAAGUCAAGGAGAGAAUCAUGGAAUGGAUCCUUCCCUCACACCCGACAGAAGUAUAUAACCCUGUAAACUUGUAAGCCAAGGAGAGAACCAUGGAAUGGAUCCUUCCCUCACACCUCACAGAAGGAUAUAACCCUGUAAACUUGUAAGCCAAGGAGAGAGCCAUGGAAUGGAUCCUUCCCUCACACCUCACAGAAGGAUAUAACCCUGUAAGCUUGUAAGCCAAGGAGAGAACAAUGGAAUGGAUCCUUCCCUCACACCCGACAGAAGGAUAUAACCCCGUAAGCUUGUAAGGCAAGGAGAAAGCCAUGGAAUGGAUCCUUCCCUCACACCUCACAGAAGGAUAGAACCCUGUAAGCUUGUAAGCCAAGGAGAGAGCCAUGGAAUGGAUCCUUCCCUCACACCCGACAGAAGGAUAUAAUGCUGCCAACAAUUUGAUUGCAAAUUUCUGACUUUCACACUGAGAGACAAUAAAUCUCUGUUGUCUAAACCACCCAGUUUGCAGCAGACCAGCAAAUAAAUGUAUAUAACUAUCAGUUAUUUCCUAGGUAAACCAGGGCAUGUCACUUAUUGCCUCUAGGCCUUUGUUUAUUUAAAUACAAUACAGUGACUUGUUUAUUUAAAUACAAUACAAUUAUGCCUGCUUCAACUAUUUUAAAGAUAGUGGAAAAACUCAGGAUGAUGUGCCCUGUUCUGCUUGGAAACUGUCAGAAAUAAACCAUUCUCCUCAAGGGCAAUUGUCUCCAGUUCUGUUGCAUGGUGAAUACUUGAAUAAAACCAAAAUUCCAGUGUCUCUGGAAGGGACUGCAUGGCUUCUACCAUUGCAGCAUUCAAAGAGUGGUCCUUCCCUUCAGACCUCAGUGCAGAAAGUGGUGGCAGCCCUUGAGAUGGCAAUAUAGUGCUACAUGGAAGAUUAACUAUACAGCCGAACAUUGAGCAACAGAGUGUUUCUCAAGAACCCAGACUUUUCGACUUCAAAUUCUUGGUUUUUCCCUCAUUGGGUGAAAUUCAUUUAAAAUGUAAAAAUAACUGCAGAGGGAUGAGGAGUGUUGUUUGUGGGAUAAAGAAUGGAAGGAACUAGGAUGUAAUACUGACUGAGUCCUGGAUGUUCCAUGUGAUUUUAAGAAGUGAUGCCAUACAUCAGCACCUCCCAGUGAAGUUUAGUGAGGGACUACUCUGAGAGAGAAGUUGUGAACUUACAGGCAGCUCUUCCGGAGAAUUGUUGAUGCUUGCGACUAAAGCCCUAUGAUCUGCUAUAUAUGAACUUCUGGAGGCCUGAAAUUGUUUGCAUUUUGUUUCAUCUGUGCUCAUAUGUGCAUUAUAUGAAGGAGGUGUCCAUAACUCAUCAAAGCUUCUGAGAGUUUCUAAAUCCAGAGACAGUAGGAACUAUCAACAAGAAAACAGUGCCUUAGCUUAAAGAUAGCAUGCAGAUGAAAGAUGAAAGGAAGCACUUGGGAUUAUUUGCAAGCUGAAUCACUAAUUUAUAAAUAAUUUAAUGUCAAACAUAUAAAAAUUAUCGUUUG